GGCUCAGUGGUUCAGUGCUUAAACGUUAGGCUGGAAACCAAGUCGAGGUUCCUGGUUCGAUUCCUGGCUAGGGUA